AUGCUGCUACUGCCUGUUGACUACUGAAUACGUAAGUACGUACAGGCUUGAGUACGUAAUUGCAAGGAUAAAUCUACAUGGAGACACUUACAUAAUUGCAGGGAUAUUUUACAUAAUCUGCAGGGAUAAAUUCCAUCUACUCAAUAUAGAUUGAGGCCCUAUACAGAUUAACCUUUAAAGACUAUAACCAAUUCUGUUGCUUUUUACAACCUGCAGACUUGUGCUUCUUGUUUCUUUGAUGAUUGGAACCCAUAUUUUCAAUUACUUACAACAAGUCAGCACUCAGCAACCUUCAGCCUUCAGGUGCCUUCACUCCUUUUCUUUCAACCAUGCUGCACAAAAAACAUUUAUCUGGUUGUGAGAAAAGAAAAAAGAGGAAAAAGACAGAGAAGUCCAAUGAAUUGCAAAAGGGAUCUAUGCAUAGAUAUGUUGUAAGGAAAGAAUCUGCUGAUAAUCUUGAGGAACUAGAUGACACUUCU
rnacentral:lncRNA from 1 species